UUUCACGACAACAAGGGCGGCGCCAUUUCGCUCAUUUUGUCAACGUUCUUCCGGCCGCAUAGACGAUGAGCAGCUGAGGCAGUGACUGAAGGCGACGUGUUAAGCUUAAAAAGCUCACUCGAGCGCCUUUAUGUUUAUUUCUUACCAAUUUUAAGCCAACUGAGGAACACCCUUAUCCCAAGUAAUGGUUCGACUACGAUGUUCCGGUAACUUUAAACCACACCUGGUGUUGAAAAGGUGGCCAGUUUCAGAUGCAUUGAUGUUUAGUGAUGCAGUGGACAACUGUGAGGAUGAUACAAUCAACAUGUUCCUAAACUGUAAUGCAGAAACACAAUGGGAGCAUCUAUCCGUCUCUGACCACAACUACACUUUAAAAUCACAACUCAACCUGAAGCAACCUACAUCUGAUAUGGGAAAACAAUGGUGCGGUUUCCCGGACAGGGCUUAUCCUGGUCCCAGGCUAAAAUGCAUAUUUGAGCUACAAUAAUUUAAAAACACCUUUUACUGACAUACCUCAACAUAUAUUAGUGCCAUUGUUUUGUCACAAGAUGCGCACCAGUCUUGUUUUUUGUAGGAUUUGUUUGUAAAAACUAAAAUGUCCUAAUAUAAUUAAGGCCUAGUCCUGUAAACCCUGUCCGAGAAACUGCUUCAAUGCUUCUGCUUCAUGUGUUGAGCUGGCACAAAUGUACAUAUCUCUGCUGAGAAACAACCAUCUUUGGUUCAGCUUUACACAGGGUUGAUAUUGCAUCCAUUACACAAGCACUUUACCAGUACAUACACCAACAGCUUCCAGAUAUACGCUUGGGAUCAGCUCCUGAUGACUCCGAUAAAGCUGUGUCUUAAUUUAUUGCAGGGUGGUCUUGCUUUACCGGUUGUAAAGUUACAUUAAACCUUCAUAUGUGAUCAGAUGUCAUGCAGUGAUAUUAAACAUUUACAGUGUGAUCAGAUGUUGUGCAUUUAUAUUAAACAUUUACAAUGUGAUCAGAUGUUGUGCAUUUAUAUUAAACAUUUACAAUGUGAUCAGAUGUUGUGCAUUUAUAUAAAAUCUUUACAAUGUGAUCAUGUUGUGCAUUUAUAUUAAAUCUUUACAAUGUGAUCAGCUGUUACCUGUCAUGCAGUUAUAUUAAACAUUUACAAUGUGAUCAGAUGUUGUGCAUUUAUAUUAAACCUUUACAAUGUGAUCAGAUGUUGUGCAUUUAUAUUAAAUCUUUACAAUGUGAUCAUGUUGUGCAUUUAUAUUAAAUCUUUACAAUGUGAUCAUCUGUUACCUGUCAUG